rnacentral:lncRNA from 1 species
GGCCAACCGCCCGGACCUCGGCGCUUUCUUCUAGGAUCCGCAUGAAUCGCUUUGGGCUAUCGGAAGAGCUAUCCCCAGUUCUCGGGAGAAAGAGUCCGCGACCAGCGUCUGACCUCUCACUCAGAGUCCCCAGUCCUGCCUUAGUUUCCCCAGCGACCCUGAAUUUGGAGUUGCUGUCUCUAAGUGAAAGCUGAACCUGCAACCCCUUGAGGGUUUCAGCCGCAGAGGGGCGGGAGAAAGGGCCUGGUUGGUAGGCGGGCUCAGCGGUUCGCGCCCAGUUAGCCCCGAGCUUCGGAGACCCGAGAGACCAGAGGAUGGCUGACACGAAGGGGCACCCGAGACAGCGCCUGGGCUUUUUCCCGCCCGCGGUUCCACCGCUCUGAAACCGAUUUCUAACAGAGAGAGACAUAGUCUUGCUCUGUUACCCAUGCUGGAGUACGGUGGCGAGAUCACGACUCACUACAACUUUGAAUUCCUGGAUUCAAGCAAUCCUCCCAUCUCAGCCUCCUGAGUAGCUAAGGACUACAGGGCGACUUUGUCAGUACCCCAAACUGUCCCCGCAUGAGGUCACUCUGCACGGUCACGUGCUCGAGCCCGCGGGAGCGCCACAUCGCCAGCCGCACCCCUCCACCCCCAACCUGCCCACGUGACCCGGCCUAGUUUCUCCAGGCCCGUCCCUACGUCUCACUCGGGAAGCCCCGCCCCACGCUGAGCGCUCCGCCUGCGACCCUCCGCCACUUACCCACCCCGGCUCAAGCACGACCCGUGGAUCCACGUGCUUUUUCUUGUCCAAUGGGAGCCGGCUCCCGGGCGCGAAGGGGCGGGGAGGAAAGGAACGACUGUGCUACGUUGCCAGAAGGGGCGGGACCUGCAACGUCCGACAGAACGAGGGGACGUAACGGAGGCAGGUUGGAGCCGCUGCCGUCGCCAUGACCCGCGGUAACCAGCGUGAGCUCGCCCGCCAGAAGAAUAUGAAAAAGCAGAGCGACUCGGUUAAGGGAAAGCGCCGAGAUGACGGGCUUUCUGCUGCCGCCCGCAAGCAGAGGGACUCGGAGAUCAUGCAGCAGAAGCAGAAAAAGGCAAACGAGAAGAAGGAGGAACCCAAGUAGCUUUGUGGCUUCGUGUCCAACCCUCUUGCCCUUCGCCUGUGUGCCUGGAGCCAGUCCCACCACGCUCGCGUUUCCUCCUGUAGUGCUCACAGGUCCCAGCACCGAUGGCAUUCCCUUUGCCCUGAGUCUGCAGCGGGUCCCUUUUGUGCUUCCUUCCCCUCAGGUAGCCUCUCUCCCCCUGGGCCACUCCCGGGGGUGAGGGGGUUACCCCUUCCCAGUGUUUUUUAUUCCUGUGGGGCUCACCCCAAAGUAUUAAAAGUAGCUUUGUAAUUCCUUGAGCGCCUGGUUUGACUGGGGACUUGGGGGGAUGGGGUUGGAAGAAUGACUGCCCUUUCCCACCAAAAAAGGGAGAACUCUUUAGAUUCAGAUUGUGGGUAUGUAGACUUAAUAAGUGAAACAUCACAGAAGAAGCCUUUAUUAUACAAUGACAACCAAACAAGUACUCCGGAUAUGCAGUAGAGGAAUCCUCUAAGAACCAUAGAGACUUCUUUUCUGUGAUUUUUGUUCCCCACCCUUGAACACCAUCUCUAGGAUGGAGUUGGCCUAAGAGUGAAUGCUGCAAGAUCUGUGUUUAUGCCUCUUUUCCUCAUUCUUCCUCAGUUUGUUCGUCUGCUUGAAAGUUGGCCAAAAAAUCCUGCUGCUCACCGACUUCCCGUGGUCAGCUGCUGUCAAGCGUUCACUUUCUCUUCUGUCAUUCCUCAUGGAAUGAGGGUGGUUUUGUCUUCCCGCUUCCCUUGACCUCAAAAUCAGGAUUAAAACCUGGGGUAGCCUCUGUGCUCCUUUCUUCUAUGCCCUGGUUUGUUCUGUGGUUCUGGGCUUCUU